rnacentral:rRNA from 1 species
GUGGGGAAUAUUGGGCAAUGGGCGAAAGCCUGACCCAGCAACGCCGCGUGAAGGAAGAAGGUUUUCGGAUCGUAAACUUCUAUCCUUGGUGAAGAUAAUGACGGUAGCCAAGAAGGAAGCCCCGGCUAACUACGUGCCAGCAGCCGCGGUAAUACGUAGGGGGCAAGCGUUGUCCGGAAUGAUUGGGCGUAAAGGGCGCGUAGGCGGCCUGGUAAGUCUGGAGUGAAAGUCCUGCUUUUAAGGUGGGAAUUGCUUUGGAUACUGUCGGGCUUGAGUGCAGGAGAGGUAAGCGGAAUUCCCGGUGUAGCGGUGAAAUGCGUAGAGAUCGGGAGGAACACCAGUGGCGAAGGCGGCUUACUGGACUGUAACUGACGCUGAGGCGCGAAAGUGUGGGGAGCAAACAGGAUUAGAUACCCGGGUAGUCC